AAGACUGGGUUCUAGAUUUGCAUGUGUGUUCUCUAUUGUGAGGUCAUUGUGGAGAGAAGCGUUGGCCAUUGUGAGGUCACUGUAGAAUCCCAUCUAUUGUGAAGUCAGUGUGGAACAUCUACCAUUGUGUUGUCACAGUCGAAUAAUGACCAUUGUGAAGUCAUAGUGGAAAGGUUUCCAUACCAUGCUUGUGGGUCAUGCGCUCCACCUAUCCCAAAGUUAUGGUGAUGGUGUCUGGCUUUUUUCAUAGUAUUUUUUCAUUCUCUACUUGAUCCUACUUGAACUAUCCUCAACUAUAAUGUGGAAUCCUUCUCUAUGGACCAGAUAAUCCCUAAUUACAUGUAUGAACAGUGUAACUGUCCUCAAUGUUUAAUUUUACACAGAAUUGUAUAAUCCUCAAAAUGUGUGCAUUCACAUGGGUGUGCUUGUAACAUAUACUGGAGUGAGAGAGGUCUGCUAUGAAUUGUUUAUUUUAUUAUUUUGUUUGUGGAAACAUUUUCGUAUCAAAGACUUUGAAUUUGUAUUGGGUGUGAGAAAUGUAUCCUACAUUUCCCAUCUACCACUGAGCUUGGUGUCAGACGUGGAUUGGCUUGUUCAUUUUCAAGUUUUCUUUGCACACGCACCUUCAACCCGAUUCGAUGUCCGGUGCUUUCAUUUGCAUACAAAAAGCGCGAAGCCAAUCGCUGACGUGUCAUGAAAACCUUUCCGAAGAAUUCCACCAAUGUCGGGGCCCAUAGUAUUUACAUAUUUGAGUGAUAAGCCAAUCGCAGUGUGGACCAAGACAGAAGUUUACACUGAAUUGCCCAAUGGUCAAAGGCGAGGGCAGAGUUUAGGGUCCGCAUAUUAUUAACAUGUUAUUAGCGGAGGUGUUUUAGAUAUCGAUCCGGUAUUUCGUGUUAGUUACAAACUCGCGCCUUCUUCCUUCAGGUCAAUACAUUCCAAUUCUUCUUACGUCAAAACAAGUGAGAUAAAUCGGUUAAACAUGCCCAAGAGGAAGUCUCCAGAGGGUGCUGAGGGAAACACAAAAGUUACAAAACAUGAACCCUCCAGGCGAUCGGAGCGGUUGUCUUCAAAACCUGCCCCUCCCAAAGAUGAGCCUAAGGCCAAGAAACCUGUCGUAAAGGUAACACCACACAUGUACAAAUACAUGCACACACAGAUACACACAUACAUAUGCAUGCAAGCACAUGCGGAGAGAGAGAGAGAGAGAGAGACAAAUGUUUGCAUGUGGUUUUGCAUGUAUAGGCUACAUCUUGCAUACGCAAACCUUGAGCCAAAAAGACAAACUUAUUUGUGCGAGAGACCCAGAGAAAAGUUAUGUUUCAGAGCAUUUGUUAGUGAUUGCUGUCAUAAGUAUAUAAAGAUAGUUAGCUAA
rnacentral:lncRNA from 1 species